GAGGGCAAGGGGCUUUAUGUCCGGGUACCUGCGGGUAGACAUUUAGCAUGGGUCCUUGCCUUUGCAUGCACUUGUAAUACUAAGUUUUGGCUGCGGCCAUUGUCAUACUAAAUUCAUAAAUUGAUAAGCCUGCUCGCCAUAUUCUGAGGUUGUAUACGUUUCAUAUUAAAUGAGGCUGCGGUCAUUUAAAUCCAAA